GGACCAAGAUUCACUGGUGGUCCAAGGAAGACAGGCCCUGAACUGUCUGGAAAUGUUAGACGACCACUCAUGGAGAGCUUAGUGCCGCGUCCCAUCCCAUCCAGGCCAGUGUUCAGAAAAAGUCACAGUAUUAUGUCCAAAUACCGCAACAUGAGAGUGAUGCGACAGCGCGCACCAUACAGUCGAGGUCCCAACCAACAACGCUGGUGGUAACCUCUGGUCCUACAGUUGGCAGGUUUAACACUGGAAAAUGUGGGAGACACUAAUGUUUUUUGGCUGGGUGGACUGCACAAAUCCUGCGCUCCAUACAACCCAACCUGCCUGUAUAUUGUGGAAGUGUUGCUUAUAUAUAUAUUUUUUUUUUCCUCUAUGUGUGUUUCUGUUGCAUCUUUAAAUACUGCAGGACUUCAGGACGUUUGUAACAUAUGCCAUCAUAUUUUGCUGUGCUGCUUAUGCCACUGUGUAUAUGAUGAUUUGGGAGUAGCUGCUUGAGAUCUUGGCUGACUUUGUUUUACUUAAAUAUUUUAACCCUUUUUUGUUGUUUACCAGUAACAUUUCUUUUUUCUUUUUUUUUUUUUUUUUUUUUUUUAAAUUUCAGCAAGUCCAGCAUUUUAUUUAAUAUCUACCUAUCAUGUGAGGUCAAGAGUGUCGUGAAACAGUGGCUUUUUGACUGACUCUUAGCUACUACUUGUAAAACUUGUAUAAUCACUUGUUCAGUUUGUUUCAGACUUAAAAUAAAAUGGGAUUUAACAAACUCUGUUAGUUGUUUCAUUGUAAAAUGGAACUGAGAUUUCAUAAUAAAUGCAGAUGAUCACUCUUUCUGCCUUUCCUUUGUUCGGUCCUGUAUAAACACCAGCUCUAGUUCAGUCUGUUAAACACAACUCUCGCCCUCCCCCAGUGAUAUUUGUGAGGGGAGUGGUGCUAAACUUAGCCCUGACAGUACCACUCCUCAUCACAACAUACUCCGCACACCACACCGGGUUACAAUGGAUGGAGUCGAGUUACCACAGAUGCUGCUGUAUCUCAAUGUUGACGCUGACAAAACAAGACACUGAAGAGUUUGUUUCAAUUGUGUCAAUGGCGGAGAAGCUGAAUGAGCAGGUAGCUCGUGCUGCAGAUGAGAGUUUACAGGCAGAGCUUCAGACUCUGGUAACACUGAUGGAACAGGAAAGGAAAGAAAACCAGAGUGAAGAGCUGGAUUCUUUAGCACUUCAAGGAAACUCUGAGGAACCAAAUCAAAAUGGAUCUGCUCAGCCUGAAGUAGCACCCAAAAGUGUGCCCACGCAGUCCUUCUCCUCUCUGCUACCAAAGGCGCUCUCUGCUGUGCUCCACCCAUCGCUGCCCCCGGGCCUCGGCUCCAGCACCCACACAAACGCAAGUCAAGUGAAACACACGUCACCGAACCUGGAACAACUGCAGAUGGAGCUGAGGGACCUGAGGGACCAGUUUGAACAGAUGAAGAGUCAGCACAACAAAGAAAUUAAGCUACUGAUGAAUGAACUAGAUGAGGAGAAGAGGAUUCGCUUGACUUUACAGAUGGAGAUUCAGCGUAUGAAGAAGCACAUGGCUAAAUGA
ensembl:lncRNA SH3 domain-containing kinase-binding protein 1-like